rnacentral:rRNA from 1 species
AUUGAACGCUGGCGGCAGGCCUAACACAUGCAAGUCGAACGAGUGGCGGACGGGUGAGUAAUGUCUGGACAACUGCCUGAUGUAGCGGGAUAACUACUGGAAACGGUAGCUACUACCGCAUAACAUCCGAUGUGCCCAGAUGGGAUUAGCUAUUAGGUGGGGUAAAGGCUCACCUAGGCGACGAUCCCUAGCAGGUCUGAGAGGAUGACCGGCCACACUGGAACUGAGACACGGUCCAGACUCCUACGGGAGGCAGCAGUGGGGAAUAUUGCACAAUGGGCGCAAGCCGGAUGCAGCCACGCCGCGUGUAUGAAGAAGGCCUUCGGGUUGUAAAGUACUUUUAGCGGGGAGGCGUUACCCGACGAAGAAGCACCGGCUAACUCCGUGCCAGCAGCCGCGGUAAUUC